ACUUUUUAUUAAGGAUUAUAUACUUUUAAAUUACUGAUUUAAGGAUUGAUUAUGGUAAUUAGGGAUCAGCAUCCAUUAAUAAAAUACGAACUUAUAUGAAUUUGAUAAUUUAUAUAUGUGAUGAUUUAUUUUUUUUAUUUUCAAUAGAUGAUGCACUCAAAAUAUAUUUUGAGUCCAUUAAUUUAUUGUGGAGAAUUUAACACUGAAGUGUUAAAUAUGAAUCUUUUAUCGAUUGUUUACUUAAGCCCAUGAGUAAUUUAAUUUAUGUUAGAGGCAAGCUCAAGUGAAUUUUAUGCUUCAAUGAGAAUUAGGCUUAUAUAUCUUAAUGUGUUUAUAUGAGAUUAAGCACAUAUGGUUCUCAUUCAUCCACAUCCCUCUCAUUCUUCUAUUAAACCAAUCACCAAUACGUUCACAAUUUUCUUCACCUACUACUUCACAAUUUUCUUCACCAAUACGUUCACAAUUUUCUUCACCUACUACUUCACAAUUUUCUUCACCUCUAAAGUCAAUCUCCAAAUAGAAUUUUGCUUCUUUAAAACCUAUUCCACUAUCUCAACUCACCCAUUCCCACCUCUGCAGCAAGUUUUAUAAAGUAAUAGAGUGAAGAUUAUUCAUCUCAUUCAAUUCUUCUUCACAAUUGGCUUCUAAUCUAUGCCAUAUAUAAAAUCUGCAGAGACUAAUACCAUACACCUAUUCAAGGUUCAAAUAAACAAAAGCGUCUGAGUAACCUAUCGCGCUAAGGAAAGAGAAUCGUUGUCUUAAGUAGCAAAACACUGCAAUCAGGUUGAGCUGAUGUGAUGAUGGUGCUGCAAUGAGCGGAGUCUCCAGGGUUGUUAAUAAAUAGUUAACCUGUCUAGAAUAUGUCUUCAUACAUAUGUCUAGCUACUUUCCGCUGCAAGAUGUUGUUGAUGUUAUAGUAUGUUAUGUCAUACUUUGAGUCUUAAGAGAAUGGUUUCAUAUGAUGUAUAACUUGAUUAAUGAUAUUAAUUAAGUUUUAUGCUGUCUUUCA